CUGAAUUCUUAUCCGGUGAAUCCGUGUUUUUAUUAUUCUUAUUCGGAUCUUGGGUUUUUGGAUAUCCGGGUAUCGAAUAUCCUUCUAAAAAUUGUAAUAUCCACCGGAUAUCCAGAUCCAGAUUUGGAUCCUUAAAAUAAAAAAAAUAAUAUUAAAAUAUAUUAAAUAUUAACAAUAAUUUAAAAAUAAAAGUAUAUAUAAUAUUUUUAAUUAUAUCUAUGUUUACUAUUACAAAAAUUAAUUUAUAUAUUAGUAUAGAAAUAAAAAUAUAACAAGUAUAGAAAUAAAAAUAUAAUAAAUAAAAUUAGUUUUUUUUUAAUAUAUAUUCUUAUUUUAAAAUAGUUAUCAAUAAAAAUUACGGAUCCGGAUAUCCAGACUAAAAAAUUAAGAUAUCCGGAUUCAGAUUUGAUCUGGACGGAUCCAACAUUUUACUAUCCGGAUUCGGAUCCGGCUCCUCUGGAUAUCCGGAUUUUUGGAGCGGAUAAGACUUGAAUCUGACACAGGAGCUUCUGAAUGAUUAUGUAGGCUCAUGUCUGAAUGUAGCAAUUUUGCUCCUCAAAUCUUCAGCUUUUGAUUCAUCAAAGAAGUUUCGCAGGAAAACAUUCUUGAUGUCACUCCAGGAAGUAAGAGAUCCUGGUGAUAGCUGUUUAAGCCAAUGCGAAGCAUCUCCAACAAGUGAUACUUGAAGAGCUUGCAAAGUAGAUAGUCCUCAGGGACUUCAUUUGAUUUUAUAGCAGAGAAAAAAAUCCUCACACCUCUCCAGAUGGUCCAUAGGAUGCUCAUGUGGUAGACCACAAUAAGGUGUCUAUCCCACAAGUGUAAAGUUUGGGGCUUCAGCUCGAAAUCGUGCCUCUGGAUAGCUGGAGGACGGAUAGCAUAUCUUUUAGCGUAUUAUUGGUCUGAACGGUUGUAGUCAGCCAAUGUUCUUGGUCGAGCAGCCUCAUUUACAACAUUAGCGAGAGCUGUAGCUAAAUCAAUGGGAUCAGGAAUUGCAGCCCCCUGAUCAUCUAUCCUCUGACCUGCUGCAUUACGCAGAUGACCUUCCUGGUCAUGCAAGUCUCCAUUCUCGUCCCGUGUGAGAAUAACUGUCGCAACCAUGUCUCGCGGCUGAGUAUCGAUCAUGCAGCUGAUGUGGUAUCGAUCGAUAUUGGGUGGGUGGUGUCGGGCGACGGAGGAGUAGUCUCAGUCGACGGUGAAGAUCGAGUGUCGAUCGAUGAACGGAUGUGUGUGUCAGUCGAUGUGGUGUUUCGAGAAUCGGUCGAUGGUAGAAUGUUACUAUUGAUCGAUACAGAACGUUACUCCUUGUGGAUCGUGCGUUCCAAGAGGGCAGGAUCUGGGGAAAUUAGUGGUGAUUUCAUGUUGCUUCUGGUACUACUAGGCAUACACGUGAAAAUACAAGAAUUUUUUUUUAUCAGUUUUUGCAAGAGUAAAGAAAAUCUAGAAGAAAUCAGAAUAAACAUGAUCUAAGGGCGAACAAAGCUCUCCGACAACCUCGCCAAAUUUUAUCUCACUCAAAUUACCCUAAGGAAUGAAUUAUUCUCUGAAAUAAGAGGAUCAGUUGUAAUACUUAUGGAUCAAAUCCACAGAGCUCGGGCAGAUAAUAAAUCCUAAAAGAAGUGAUUAAGCUAGGCUGAAUAUCAUAAAUCAAAAUAUGCAGUGGUGAACAAGUAAUUGUUCAGAUGAGUUGAUUGGGGUUUUAGACAAUAAUAAUAAAAAAGUUAAGCUUAGGGUUUCUAUUCAGGAUUUCAGGAUUACAUAGGCAUGGAAACUAACAUGCAUGCAGGAUAUAUAAGAACUCAACAAAAGCAAUAGUUUGUCAACUUCCGUAUUUUUAGACUAUAUAUUGUCUAGAUCCUCAAACUCAGGUUCCGCUUGCUAGUAUGAAGAAAGUGUCGAUCGAUUACUCUACAAGAGUAUCGAUCGAUACACCUUUCGUCACGUCGACUGAUUACUCUAUAGGACUAUCGAUCGAUGGGCUUCUAGAGAAGUUUUAAGAUCGGGUUGAACUAUGUUCACUAGUCUUCUUAGACCAACUUCCGCAUGUAUCUAGCAACCUAGCUCAAAGAAUCAAUUCAGGGAGAAAACCAGGCUUUCGCUUGCGCCUCCUAUCCUAAUAUCAAGGUUCUAGUUAUCUACUCUAGAAACAAGCAUUAAACACAACUCUCAUGAUGAAUAUUUCUAGCAACUUAGUAAUUCCAUAUUUUGGGCUAAUCCCUCAUUUCCUGUUUGAACCCUAAACCUAAUAAGGUGAUUUACUCAGACAUAGCAGAGUAAAGCCUAUCAAUAGAAUAAGAAAACUUCAUAGAUAGAUAGAUAGAAAUCAAUGGAGUUCUAAGACAAAUAUCUGAAGGAGUUAUACUCUUCUCUGCAAUCUAAAACUAAAAACCUUUUACUGUGAAGAAUAGAAAAUAAGAAAGUGUGUGUUGCUGAAUACAAUGACGGUGUACAUAAAUAUUAGGUUAAAACUCGCCAUGGGUAUUCUUAUAAUUUGGUAUGAUCUUGGGCUUCAAGUCGGCUGUGACCAAAGUGGGUUUCUGCGUACUCGCUGUCAAUCGAUAUCACAUGGUGUGUAUCGAUCGAUUGUGGUGUCUCUCUGUCGACCACUUGUGCUGGUCGACUGUCAGCUCGGGUGAAAUCUCUAAAGUACUCAAAUGCUUCAAAAUCUCUAUUUUACUCCAAAUGACUCCUAAAUCUAUAAGCAUACUAAAUAGACUCCAAAACAUUAUAAUUAUAUCUUAAAACACUUCUAUACUAUGGUUAAAAGUGGUUAAAUUCCAUGGUAUAUCAAGGUCCACUCACACGGCGGUCGGGGCUCUGAUCAAGAUGGCUAACCGGCUCUAAUACCACUUGCAACACUCUUAUCCGUCCCUUCCAUUUGCCCACAAUGAUCUCUCUCUAGGAUCGAGAACCCACCCUUUAUGAUGGUUCAAAGCGUUUAUCUUUCUGAGGCAUGAAAAUUUUCUUUGACCAUGCAAUCACUACGUGAUCUCUCCUCAUGUUUUGGUAUUACUCACAUGAUUUCGAAAAUAUAUUUCUAAUAAGACACCAUUCUUCCACUAUUUCAGUUUAAACAUUUAACGAUAAAGUUUUUUUCACAAGUUAACAAAAGGACAAAUUCUCUUUAGUGACAUAGUUAGCCAAUUUUUUUUUCUUUAACUCUCUCCACGUGCACCAUCAUAUACCAUAAAUUAUAAUGUUACAAUUGCCCUUCCAUACUUUUGACAUCAUUUAGUGUAAACGAUGGGUAUGAGUGUCUCUUGUGACCCCAUUUUUAGCCAUGGUAUAUGAGUAUUUGAAGUAUUAUAUGGGUUUGGAGUAUGUUUUAGAGUAUUUUCAGGUUCAGGUAUAUCCUCGAGAACUUUAGUGAUUUUGGAGCUUUUUGAGAUGCAGAACUACACAGAUGCGUUAGAUGUUUAGCUAUUGAUGGAGAUUUUACCACCGUGUGAUUGAGCUGAUAUUUUGACACAACAUAUAUAUUUUAGUUAGUUUUCCAAUACCACCAUUUUAAGGUCAAUCUAACGGUUAGAUCUGAAGUUAUGCCCGUAUUACUGAAGAGUGGUACGUCUGCCUCGCAAGAUGAAGCUGUCGAGAAGAUGAAGCAACAUCGAUCGAUGGAGCACCCCUUAAAUCGAUCGACGGUGAUCCCAGAAGAUGGACCUUGUCUGUUUAUGACCAAAUUAAUCCCAGAAGUUAUCACAAAUUACCAAAAUGCUUCUGCACGACUAAAAGUCUUAUUUUACUGUUUUCUAAGCCAUUGUUGACGGCCAUGCUUAUUCUAUUGUGGAGAGAGAGCUUAUGAUUGGAGAGAGAUAUCUGUACACCUUGAGAGAGGGAAUAUCUUAUACUUCCUUUGUUACUUUACUCUUUUCUGUUAUUUAUUAUUCUAUUGCAGUAUUUUUCAGACCAUCAUAAUGUUUCUUAUGAAUAUGUCUCAAUAGUUCUCUUGUUACAUUUAGGGUUUUCAAACGAUGAUUUAUGGUUUGUUAAAAUUUAACAUGUUGCUAGGAUGAUUUAGUUAGUUCUUCAUUUAGUUGAUCUUAACAUCUGGAUGCAUACGAGAGUUGGUCUAGGUAGUAGAGAACAUAUCAAACCUGUUCGUAAAGCUUGCUGGAAAGAAUAUCGAUCUACACAACGAUAGUUGUAUCGAUCGACAUUUCGAAAGGUGUAUCGAUUGAUUUUCAUAUAGAAAAAUCGAUCGACAAUUUCUCAUGAUCAAUAAACGAGAGUUGAGAUCCGAGAUCCAGUCAUUAGAUAAUCUACACAACAAAAGUUGAAUAGAUUAUACUUUAAAGUUUGAGUCGAGAACAAUUAAUAUUUUUGAAUCCCUGAUAACCUGAUUAGUUUGCAUACUUAUCAUACCUCAGAAUUUACCUGAAUCUAGUUGUUUUCUUAAAUUAUUUAAAACCUCAAAUCAAUCAACUGAAUAACUAGUUUGUUCGCCAUACUAUUUAUUGUUUUAAAUCAUUACUGUCUAGCAUUACUUCGGAAACAACAAAUUUGUUGAGUCUCUGUGGAUUCGAUCUCUAAGUACUCCAACUGAACAUCUUAUUUGAAAUAGUGGCUUGAAGGUUAGUUCGAGCAUAUCACCUUCAUCCUCUGAACGUCACUCUCACAACUCAUAAUAACACUAGAAACUUAUUUUUCAUUAUAAUGGUAAUCACAUUUAUAUCGAAGAUCUUUAUAUGUUAGGCAAAUUGAGAAUUCUGAUUAACGGGAUAAGACUGUUUAUGUGGAAUCAAUAUUCGAGUGAGGGUGUUCGGGAAUGGAUGCGAUGGAGGUUAUUACAGCCAAAGACUUUGAAGCCUGAAACAGAACUAUAGAGUAUACUUUCACUUUUCUAAGACUCACUUGACAAUUUUACUAACUAAAUCCCCCUUACGUUUUUGCAGGACAUGAAGAGUGUUUGUGCCACCACUAGAAUCUUCACAGAACCAAUUCAUAUUUAUUCAUAUGGUUUUUGUUUUGUGUCUUUCAAAAUUAGGUUCACCCAUUACUAAGAACAAAAAUUUGCACUUUACAUAUUUUCUUAAGAUUUUGCAGGGGAGGUAUAUUUUCCAAGUAAACGAAGGACACAAUGCUAUCUCCAUCUUAAACGUUUGCUUUUUUGUUUCAAAUGGCACUGAAUUAUAGUUAUUUUGAUCCUCAUGAUUUGUGACUUACCAAUUAGGCUUACCCAUUAUAAGAACACAGUGUUUGCUUUUUACAUUUUUCUAAAAGAUUUUGCUGGAAAUGAUUCUUAAAGGAAAGACAUGAGACCGUGUUAACAUUUAAAGGUUUGCUUUGUUCUUUAAAGUUAGACUAUGUUAUAUUUACUUCAGUUUCGUGCUUAAGAAAUCUGCGAAGGGUUUAGGAUGAUCGUUUACGGUCUCUGUCAGUCUUCAGGUCAAAGCAAACCUUUACUCUCCCAUUUUUUUAUUUGAUUUGUUGUUUCAUUGUCUCUGACUUGGCUUCACAAGCAGAACACUUAGCUUUAUAUAGCUACACGGAUGUUGGUGAUGGCCUUGAGUUCCACCACUUCGAUCAUUGCUCCCUCGACAUCCUUGAAGAGUAAGUUUCUUUCAUUUAUCCAAAUAUGUAUUUUGCUUUGUGUGGGUGUAUGUUUCUCCAAAUGAGUCGCAGAAUUUUUUUUUUCCGUUUUGGUUUUUAUCUCUCUUGCUUUCUCUAAGUGCUUUCUCUAAGUGAAAUGUCCUCUUUCUCUUUGGAAAUGUGUCAAUUUGUAUUUCAAAAAUGGCUACUACGAAACUGAAGAGUCAUUCCUUGGGCCUGCAUGAACAACAAAGUGUAAGGACUAAUUAAUUUCAACAGUACAUUCGUUUUCUCUGUUACUGAUGCUACUCUUUUCAUGUGAUAUUCACCUAAAGGUACAGUUACUUGGCUAAUACGUAAGUAAUAUUUAUAUUGGUCACAUCAAACUAAGAUACUAAUUAAUUUCACAUUAAACUAAGCUCUUGUGACACACCAUUUCAUACUCUCUCUCUCUCUCUCUAUGUUUAUGAAGAAGGCUAAGGUUCUUAAAGCUCUAUCUAAGAACUUGCACUGUUUUCAAGCAUAUGGUUUGGUUGCUGAGAUUAACUACAAGACAAUCUCGAAUCAAGCAGGAAGCAGCAUAAAUUCUGUUAAGAAACUGGGUCAGUUGAAAGAAAAGGAGGAACUAUUGAAGAAACAGAAGAAAGAUGAAAAGCCAAAAACUAAAGCCAUGAAGAUGAUGACUGAAAUGAAAUCUGAAUCAAAUUGCAAUGACUGUAACAUAACAUAAGUUGUUGGCGUGAGCUAUUUUAGAAAUAAGGCUAAACUGAUUCGUGAGCGUCACAGCCGUAAUCUGAAGAAGCAACCAUUCCUACAAUCAAAGCGACUAAUUCCUAUAAGCCCCAAGAAUAUGAAAAUUCUUCCAAAGAACACCGGUGAAGCAUUGAAGCAAGCUCUGCUACAAUCAGGUUCUGUAUCGACAGCCUUUCCCUCGGUUGUUAGUCAUGGACAUAGAUCAUGAAUAUGAUAGAAAUAGUUUAAUUUGGUGGAUUUCCGUUGAAGAGAGUAGAAGUUUGUAUGGGAGGAAAGUGCAAGAAGUAGGAGCUGUGUUUGGAUGAGUUUCAGAAGGCAUUGACGGGCAUAGAAGGAUCCAGUGUGGUUUGCGAAUGCAUGUAGGAAUGUUGAGAUGCAAAACGUUUAGAGUCUUGAACGAGACUAACGAUGUGAAUCAUGUGAUGGUCCAUUGUUCCAUAUCUAUAACUUGAAUAAACUAUAGUUUAUAGCUACAAAAUGCAUACAUUUACACUAAAUGAUGUCUAAAUUAUAAACUUAGAAAUA